GAUGAACGCUGGCGGCGUGCCUAAUACAUGCAAGUCGAGCGAACAGAUAAGGAGCUUGCUCCUUUGACGUGAGCGGCGGACGGGUGAGUAACACGUGGAUAACCUACCUAUAAGACUGGGAUAACUUCGGGAAACCGGAGCUAAUACCGGAUAAGAUUUUGAACCGCAUGGUUCAAUAGUGAAAGACGGCCUUGCUGUCACUUAUAGAUGGAUCCGCGCCGUAUUAGCUAGUUGGUAAGGUAACGGCUUACCAAGGCAACGAUACGUAGCCGACCUGAGAGGGUGAUCGGCCACACUGGAACUGAGACACGGUCCAGACUCCUACGGGAGGCAGCAGUAGGGAAUCUUCCGCAAUGGGCGAAAGCCUGACGGAGCAACGCCGCGUGAGUGAUGAAGGUCUUCGGAUCGUAAAACUCUGUUAUCAGGGAAGAACAAACGUGUAAGUAACUGUGCACGUCUUGACGGUACCUGAUCAGAAAGCCACGGCUAACUACGUGCCAGCAGCCGCGGUAAUACGUAGGUGGCAAGCGUUAUCCGGAAUUAUUGGGCGUAAAGCGCGCGUAGGCGGUUUUUUAAGUCUGAUGUGAAAGCCCACGGCUCAACCGUGGGGGGUCAUUGGAAACUGGAAAACUUGAGUGCAGAAGAGGAAAGUGGAAUUCCAUGUGUAGCGGUGAAAUGCGCAGAGAUAUGGAGGAACACCAGUGGCGAAGGCGACUUUCUGGUCUGUAACUGACGCUGAUGUGCGAAAGCGUGGGGAUCAAACAGG
rnacentral:rRNA from 1 species